CUAUUAGAUGAGCCUAUAUUAGAUUAGCUAGUUGGUGGAGUAAUAGCCUACCAAGGCAAUGAUCUAUAGCUGAUCUGAGAGGAUGAUCAGCCACACUGGAACUGAGAUACGGUCCAGACUCCUACGGGAGGCAGCAGUGGGGAAUAUUGGACAAUGGGCGAAAGCCUGAUCCAGCCAUGCCGCAUGAGUGAAGAAGGCCUUUGGGUUGUAAAGCUCUUUUAGUGAGGAAGAUAAUGACGGUACUCACAGAAGAAGUCCUGGCUAACUCCGUGCCAGCAGCCGCGGUAAUACGGAGAGGGCUAGCGUUAUUCGGAAUUAUUGGGCGUAAAGGGCGCGUAGGCUGAUUAAUAAGUUAAAAGUGAAAUCCCGAGGCUUAACCUUGGAAUUGCUUUUAAAACUAUUAAUCUAGAGAUUGAAAGAGGAUAGAGGAAUUCCUGAUGUAGAGGUAAAAUUCGUAAAUAUUAGGAGGAACACCAGUGGCGAAGGCGUCUAUCUGGUUCAAAUCUGACGCUGAAGCGCGAAGGCGUGGGGAGCAAACAGGAUUAGAUACCCUGGUAGUCCACGCUGUAAACGAUGAAUGUUAAAUAUGGGAAGUUUACUUUCUG
rnacentral:rRNA from 1 species